rnacentral:rRNA from 1 species
CUACGGGGGGCUGCAGUAAGGAAUAUUGCGCAAUGGAGGCAACUCUGACGCAGCCAUGCCGCGUGCAGGAAGAAGGCCUUAUGGGUCGUAAACUGCUUUUAUUUAGGAAUAAACCCCCGAACGUGUUCGGGGCUGAAGGUACUAAACGAAUAAGCACCGGCUAACUCCGUGCCAGCUGCCGCGGUAAUACGGAGGGUGCAAGCGUUAUCCGGAUUUAUUGGGUUUAAAGGGUGCGCAGGCGGGCUAUUAAGUCAGUGGUGAAAUCCCGGGGCUCAACUCCGGAACUGCCAUUGAUACUGAUAGUCUUGAGUUUGGUUGAAGUGGGCGGGAUGUAGCAUGUAGCGGUGAAAUGCAUAGAUAUGCUACAGAACACCAAUCGCGAAGGCAGCUCACUAAGCCAAAACUGACGCUCAUGCACGAAAGCGUGGGGAUCAAACAGGAUUAGAUACCCUAGUAGUC